rnacentral:lncRNA from 1 species
UUCGAGUCCAACCAUUUGAGGCAAGCUUUGCUUCGGGCUUGAAGAGGCUGAGUCCGUAAUCUUUGUCAUCUUCCAGUCUCUUGUCCAAGUAUACAGACAGGAUAGUUGGUGCCAGGUAAGCGCACAUGGUCACGUAUUUAAAAUCAACCCUCUAAAUUUUACACACUUUCAUUUUAAAACCUCAUUGCCCCAUUUAGCACAUAAAAGACGGUGUCCAAAUACGACACCUCAAAGUUUGUAAUUUUCUUUUCAAAUAAACCUUCUUUAAAAAUAGUUUUUGAACUUGUAAUUUAGGCAAUUGACAACAUGACAUUACAAACUCAGACAGUCAUAAUUAUGCAUAAUUUCACCCAAUAAAUCAAGCAUAAAAUUAUACUUAACAGCUAAUCUAUCAUUAAUUUUCGCUAAUCAUGAUUAAUUAGCAUUAAAAUGAUUAGUUAAGCUAAUAGUGGUUAAAUACACUAAUCAUGAUUAAUUAAGACUAGACAUAAUUAAUUAAAUUAACCAUGGUUACUUCAAACUAAUUACAGUUAAUUAAACCAACUAUGGUUAAUUAACCCAAUCACGAUUAUUUUACACUAACUACGGUUACUUAACUUUACCAUGGUUACUUAAACUAAUUGUUCUUAAUUAAGACAAAUCUCCCUUAGCCUCAUUCUAAUCCAUACUUUAACACUAACCGCCAUUAACCAUAAUAUAAUCCUACUUAUAAACGCAAUUAACUUCCUAAUCGAUAAUUAGGAGUUAACUCACACUUGACACCCAUGGCUUGGCUGAGGAGGGAGGGGUGUUUGGUGGUGGCUUGUGGCAACGGUGAGGUCGGUGAAUGGCAGCACAAGGAAUGAGCGGCACAGACUCAGCAGUGAGUAGUGGUUCGCAAUGGUGGUGAUGGUGAACAAGGGAAGAAGAAGAAAAAGAAGAUGAUGAAGAUGAAGAAAAUGAAAGCAAAAUGGAGCGAAAGGAAAGGGGAUGCUUUGGCUGAAAUGCGGGAGGGAAUGCGACAUUUAUUAAUGAAAAAUGUCACAUGCACAUCAUUAGGAUUAGAUUCAUUGAAAUGCAUGUCAAGUGGUAGUUGUUGCUAGGUCCAUCCAAUUAGAAAUUACAUGUCAUUAGAGUUAGGUCAUUUAGUUAAUAUUGCAUCGCAUAUUGCAUAUUUUUCAUUAAAUAAGUGAAAAAAAAAAUUGCGUGUUAAUUAGAAACCAUAUCUAAGAUUAUUGAUGUAUUUUCAAAGGUUUUCAUUAUUUGCAAUCCAACACAAUCCCUUAAAAUCCUCUCACCAUUUCCUACUCUAGUCCAUAAAUGUAAGGGCAUUUUGGACAUUUCACACACUUUUUGUCCAAACUUUCCAAAUUUGCCCUUGGGCUACUUGUUUGAAUUGGGCUUGGUGGGCUUGGUUUGGCCCACUUGGGCCUCCUUGGCCAAUUCACAUGGGCAUGAAGCCCAACGGCCCUCACUUGGCCUGGCUUUUAUUUUUGACGUCCAAUUCUCAAUCGACUAACCCUUUUAAAAAAAAUUGGCGCUUGUUGAUAAAUUAACGGGUGAAUGAUGUGACAUCUAAAGGAUUACUUUUGAAAAUUUUGAAAGUUCAAUACCUGAAAUCAAAUUAAAUUUCAUGAUUAAAAUUGAUCAAAUGUAACUUUAGUACGACCUAAACUAAUAAGCAGCUUCUAGGGGUUUUUGCACGAUUGACCCAUAGUCGAUGAUUUUCGAUCCACAUUUGUAUCUCUUUGAAUCAUGGAUGACCUUUGGUUGUCAAGUAAUCGCGAAGAUUCAACUAUGUACCAUGGGUACAAGAUCAAUAGAAAAUCAGCUUAUUGUCAUAAUCAUACGGAAUCACUUGUGAACCAACUAUGUACUUCUAUCGAAUCGAUUUAUAUCCAUUCGUCAAUUAACUUAUAACAGUGUAGUGUUGACCCUUAUUGAUCCUUAUAGUUGAGCGAUCGAUCUUUGAUCGAAUUCUCUAAUCUUUCGUGUUUUAACAUUUUAUGGCCCUAUUCAAUAGAUUAAUUAACUCACGAGUGAUCAGUUCAAAAUAAAUUAACUAUUAGUGCAUUGAUGAAAUAACCAAUUUAUAUAUUCCGAAAUAGGGGUUAUAUUUCGAGAUAUCACAAGUGAUGGAACUGAAAAAGAUGUGGUUUCAUCAGCACUUAUAGACAAGAUAAAAAGGAUAUUUACUCUACUUCUAAUCUGCUUCUUUCUGAAGGAACAAGUGGACAAUAGUGUGCGCAUGUACCAUGGCAUGUGACUAAAGGAGUUAUGAACGUCCCACAUUGGGAGGAAUAAUUUUAGUGUGUUACUCUAUUGAUGAGAAUGCCGUUUGUUGUCUCCGCUAAAAGGGGUGCUUUGUCUUUGAAUAAUAUGCUCUCUCUAGUUUGUGUCUAUUGUGGAUGGUCCAAGGGUCACUAAAUCCUUUAAAUUGAUAAAAUUUCGUGGACCCAAUUUGAGCGGAUGGGACAGUUCUGCUGCAAGACAUUGUAAGAAAAGGCAAGUCGGUCGGAAGAUGCAAGACACUGAACUUUUCUGGAUUGUCUCAUUGGUGUGAAACCGGUUUCCAUGUAAUGUAAUGUCGCAUGUGGUCUUUCGGUCCAAAGAAGACCUAUCAAUAUGCACCUCGACCAUUAGAGAUAAUGGAUUUCACAUGAAUCCCAAUUCGGUCCGUCCCAGAAGUUUGUGCGUCUUGGAUACACAUGAGCCGGAUGCAUUCAAGAUGAAGAACAAAAACCAAAGUUCAGCUGGACUUGUCCGACUUGGUUUGGGUCAAUAUUCGUUCUUUCAGAUCAUUCAAACUUCGUGCUCUGUAGUGUUCAUUUCCACUAGGGCAACACCUUCUGUAUCUGAGCAGUUCGUGAUGUUUAUAAGAGCAACUCUUCUUGUUUGGGCACCUGAUAUUAUAUGAGCCACCUAUCUUUCUCAAAGGCUAAUCUAUCUUCAUAUUUCAUUGACAUCUUAAUUAGCGUUUCCAUAGUGCUUAACACAUCUUUGUGAAUAUUACCUUAUUACAAAUUGAGCAAAGCACAUUUUUAUGAUCGGUGUAUAUAAUUUCCCUGAUCAUAUAAUUAUCAUUGCUAAAGUAAUCAUCUUUACUCAUAAAUGAACUGCAGUGAAGUUCCAUUUGCAAAUGACUCCUUAUUAAUCAUGAAUGAAGCACUAUCACUUGUACAUCUCAAUUAUGUUCUUCACGAAAUCGCUGAUGUUGUUAUCAGAACUCCCGCCUUCUUCCAUAGCAAUUCUCGCCCUCUCUCUCCACUUCAACGAAUUUGCUUUGAUCUCUUUCCCUCUCUCUCCUCCCAUGAUCUUGUUCACGCAACUUUCGAUUUCUUCGCCGGUCACAAUCCCUUUCUCAUUCACCCUAACCCUGAGACCGACUUUCCACACCUCCGUGAUGAAUGCCGCAUUCGUCGGCUGGUCAGUCCACUGAGGCAUCACCACCAUCGGGACACCCAAGCUCACUCCUUCCAUAGUCGAGUUCCACCCGCAAUGAGUCAUGAAGCAACCCACCGAGCCAUGGCUCAGCACUUGGAGUUGAUCGCACCACUUCACCACCAAACCCUUCCCAUCUAGUAACUCCAUAUCUCGCAUGAAAUUGCAUGGGAGCUUCUUCUCUUCAGACGCUCUCACCACCCACAGGAAGUUGCUCUUCAUUCUCUUGAGUCCGAUAGCUAUUUCCUCCAUUUGCUCUUCUCCAAGGGAAGCCAAGCUUCCGAAUGAUAUGUAAACGACCGAGUCGGCAUCCUUCGAGUCAAGCCACUCGAUGCAUGUCUCGGCAUCGUUAAGCUUGAAGAGGCUGAGUCCGUAAUCUUUGUCGUGUUGUAUUCUCUUGUCCAAGUACAUAGAUGGGAUCGUUGGUCCUACAGUGAGCACUGGGCAUUGACUCCCCGUCCACUUUACCACCUGCACAUUUCAGGGAACACAUACGUAAAUGCAAUAAAUCCUGCACAUGCAAGAAUCAAUUUAAUUUCCUUCGUUUUAUCUGCCCUUCUUAGAAGAAUUUAUCCCUCUCGUCACAAUCGUAGUACCAACCAAAGGAAAAAUGACACUUAUAAUCCCUAAAAGUUAGCCUUAUGUUCAAUAUUGUCUUUUUCUUUGACCCAACAUGGGAGCCAAUCACCAUAAGUCCUUAAACUAUUGUCAAAUGUGCAAUCUAAUCCCUAAAAUUUCAAUUUGUUCAAUCUAGUCUCUCAACUUUCCACAACAAAGUCUAGUAUCCAUAAAUUUUUUAUAAGUACAUUCCAGAUUUUAGUAUGUCUUUUCAUUUCCAUUGAUCUCCUAAAUAAAUAAAUAAAUAUUUGCUAACUUUUUAAUAUCUUUUUUGAACCUUUUGGGUCAUUAUGAAUACUACAACAGUUAAAUUUAGGUAUAUUUCAACUUAUGAUUUCUAUAAUAGUAAAAGUACAACCUCACUAAAGUUGAAUCAGGUUGAUGUCUUAAAUGUUUUCAUCAGAUUAUUUAAAAACGAUAGUGAUUUAUCUAUGGAUAUUUGUACCUAUAUAAAUUUAGAUGUCGUUCCCAAUUUUUUAUGUAGAUAAAACUAUCAAGCUUUUGUAUUUUGUGUUUUCCUUUUACUUAAAUCUGCGUGUCUCCAUUUUCUUGUCCAACCACUGCACCACCUACACAUUUAUUGAACAUGAGUAUGAUGCAGUAAAUUCCAUUGCGCAAGUGGUAGAAUCAAUUAAAUUUCGACCAUUCUAUCUACCAUUCUUAGAGAAAUUCAUCAUUCCUGUCUCAAUCCUAAUUCAACCCUAUAACAAGCGUCUAUCACACUACUUUGUAAAACGAUUUUUGUUUCUCUUGCAGAGGUUAUUUUGUAGGCUUAGCCAAAGCUUAAUCACAUAUAAAAAAAAUAACAGGAUUUACACAGAAUCCGGCCUUCAUAAAGGUUUUAAACUGAAAUUGGCUUGUUUCAUCAAAUCGUUUAUAGAAUGACCAUCUGCCUACUGCACUUCAACGUGAGGGGAUUUUAAUGGGGGUGCAACUAACCUCAACCUCGAGCUCGGCGAAGGUAUUAAACAAGCGCCAGUUAGCUCUCAUCACGUUGGAGAAUUGGUCCAGCACGAGUUUCGCAAGCGCAGGAUAUGCAUCAGCAUCGGCCACGAACGAAGGAAGAUCGUUCAACUUCAAAUUCGAGAUGACCGGAGGGACAGAAACAUGUCCCUGUCCUCUUGAAUCUUCUAAGGGGAACUUUAGCGUUCCUGUGUGAACGUGGCGGUAAAUGGCACUAACCGCGCAAGACUGAGUGAAGAACGAAGCUCCGUGCAUGCCGUGCUGUAUCGCUAUGUCAAGAGCCCAUGACAUGACCGAGUCAUACACGAGGACUUUCGCUGGAUUAUCUUGAGAAGAUUGAUGUUGCUCGAUGAAAUUGGUCAGGCUCUUUGAGACCGAAACUGUGAAAAGUUCAAAGUAGACAUCCCGGUUCAGCUCUCUGGUGUCCACGCCCUCGAACCCAUCAGAUAUUUGCUCGAUCUUGAUGGAACUCAUUGCGUGGUUUGUCGAAUGGAGGGAAUUGGAAGGUUCGGAGAUGGGGAUAAUGAGGGCAACGUUGAGACCCUUUGAGGCUAAGCGUUUCGAGAACUCGACCACCGGGUUCAUGUGACCUUGUGCGGGGUAAGCAAGAACAAGAACAUGAAUUGGUUUGAUGGUUCUCUCACUUCUCUGUUGGUCCAUCAUUUCUCGUGGGGCUUCAACUCUUUCAGAAACUGAUGGAAUGCGAGUGAGAGAGGUUGAUGCUCAUAUCGUGAAGCAUUUCAUUGAAUAUAUAGAACCAGAAGGUGCGCACAAACAUGAACCAGCUGAAUCGUUUGAACGGUAGUUAUACGGAUUAGAGGUGUACUCGUUACUCAAACCCAACUCGCACGUUCAUUUAUAUGAAACACUCGUCAUUUGAAUGGUUGUGGUGAUUUACAUUGUUUGGCCACUGGCCUACCUACUUUCCUUAGUACGAAUGACGAGGCGCAAAAUUUUACUUGACUAGAUUUAAUAGUGUUCGAAUACGCGAUUAAAUGUCACUCCCUUUAAAAUGCUGCAAGAACAAAUAUAUAUUUAUGUCGAAACCCUAAAAGGGAAUUAUAUGAUAACCCAACUAGUCCUCCUUCGUCACCAAUCUUGUGAAACCCAACCCCCCCCCCCCCCCCCCCCAACCCGGGUUGAAAUCAUCAUAAAACAUCUAUGCAAGUAUGUCACAAAGAACUUGAUUCAUGUUCAUUAAUUAGACUUAUCUAAUAUAGGAAAAUCAUUUGUUGAGAUACAUAUUUGGGUGUAUAAGCAUCAUAUAUGGAUAGCAUUGCGGAAAUUCGUUACCUUUAUGAUGGGAACUAGGAAAGAACAUGAAGGAGCCCAACUUCUCCGAGUACUUUCAACGCGUGCCUAUUUAGCUCUAAUUUCAUUCAAAAGCACAAAAUCACAAGACAAGUCAAUCUUGAGCCAAUCAAGUAUAGUUGGUAUUAUAGCUAACCACGUAAUUAUCCGGAUAUAGAGUUCUCAAUUCGUUCAUGCAAACUCACGUGUGAAUCUUGGCACAUCUGGUCAGGCCAUCGGUGGGGACAAAAUGCCCCAGACAAGCUAAGGUUGAACGAGUCAUUCACAUAGAGCAAGUGAGAUACAUGGCAAAAGGAUAAUUUUCAUUUUUUAAAUGACGAAGAAACGUAAUAACAUAAUCAUUCUUGCAAUUCAAUGGUCUUACCCACCAUCACAUAAGUUAGGCAUAUAGCUCUUUCGUCCAUUAUCAGGUAGGGUUUCCAUAAAUUAGGCUAAGGAACAUGAGUAUAUAUUGUCUAAAGAGGCACCAUCGGAGCCAUUUGCCAAUUUUUAAAUUGUUACUUCCUUAAAAUCUGUAAAUACAUUCCUUGUAACUUAAGAAGAAAAGAAAAAGAAAAGCUACACGCCUUGUAUAGUUCUAGUAGUCACUAAAUAAUUACAUCAUUAAUCACUUCAAUGAAGGUGUUCUGGAUUAAUGUCAUUUGGACAAAGCAAAAGAUUUAGAUAUAACUGAGUUUAUUGAACUUUGCAGGAUGUUCCUCCAGCUAGGACCUAAGAAGAAGAGACCAUAAAUUCUAGGAGGCAGGGCACAAACAAAAACAUGAGCUGACAACGACGUAUACAAAAAAUGACAUCACUGCUUACCGAAGCAAAAGGAGAAGUUUUCUGCAAAUCAAUAGACCGUGCCUCGAAAUUUUUGACAUGACGAUGCACUGUUGUCGCGAUUUAGAUCUAUCGUUUUCGUCGGCAAGUGGCACACUUUAGUUCGCUACGGAACAAAAGUGCCAUGCCAGACUAGGAUGGUCCAAAGGGAUCGUGAUUACAGAUAACUACGUAACUUGUCCAUGUUUUCUUUGUCAAUCUUAGACACAAUAAAGACAAUUAUAAUAAUGAUAAUGAUAAUUAAGAAAAACAAACAAACAAACAAACAAGUCACUCUCGAAGUUGUCAAGUUGGAUUUCGCAUCUCAGGUUAAGCAUGGACACGGCAAGAACAGGGAAAAAAAUUCAUUCAUUCUUAAUGUUGGUGAGAAAAAGAGAGAGAUAAUUGGGUGACAUUUUUUUUAUUUACUUUGAAAACAAUAUUUUGUUAUAGAUUACAAAAAGCUAAAUAACAAAUAAUUAUAAAUUGUUAUAGAGUCCAGUUUUUAAAGAAUUUAUGGUUUACAACAAAUUGUUAUUCUCACAAUACAACAAAUUGUUAUUCUCACAACAGUUCAAAGACAAUUAUGCUAGCAAAGUCCAAAAAGAAAUAUUUCAAUAUGUGAUGUGUCUUGAUCUAUCAUUUGUGCAAUUCAAAUAUCUCACACAGAAUUGGUAAGUUGGUAAUAAGUUGCUAAUUUGCAAAUUGUGUAAAAAAAAAAAAAUUGGUAAUUUGAUAAAAGGGUUAAAAUUACCGAUAAGUUUCCAACUAUAUAGCAAGUUGGGAAAGUUAUGACCCUUUUAGAAAUGAUUAACAAUUGAUUAUGUGUUACCAACUAACUUACCAAUUAAAUUUGCUAAUUGUUAAGUAAAAAUUCUGAUCUAAAUUAGAGUAACUUACCAACUUUCAUGACUUAUUGGACUGACUAGAAAAAAAUAAUUACAAGAAGCAAGAUUAGGUCUGGAUGCACAUUUGGCUGUGCACCUACCACCCAGUGCAAGUGCAGCGGUGCACUUUAGGAUAGACUACAUCCCAUAUCAAGUUGAGAAUUGAGAUGACAAAUAAAUGUCAUAUUCUAUUCAUUACCAAGUGAAUAUACAUAAGUCUAUUAAUAAGUUUUGCAUGACGACUAUUUAAAGUAAGAAAAUAUUAAAUACAAUCAAUCAGAUCAAUCAAGAGAAAUAUUAGAGAAUCGCGUAAUAUCUUCUUAAAGGAGCGCACUAUUUCCGCCCUAGCCUUUGCUUUGACACUUCCGAACAUAGCCUCGAGGUCGGUGGUGCCCUUGAGGAAGCUGGGGUCGUCCUCCUCGAGGACCAUCUGGAUCGAGCACGACCCAAGGCCGUCAGUGAGGGCGAGCAUGAUCUUCCUCAUCUCCGACCGAAUCUCCUCGAGGUCGACAAUGCUGCUGCCAUCGCAGUCAAAGCGGUCGAAGACGGAGUCAUAAAGGCUGGUUAGCUCCUGCGGUGUGGUGGCGACGUCCACACCAAAGUGAGUCGAUAAGGAAGGGGCAUCGACUCGAAGGCCUUGCGGAGGUCAAAAGGGGAGAGGACGCUGUCGCGAUUGAGGUCUCCGUUUUCCAUCUUCAUCUAUUAUUUUCUUUCUUUGCUAUCCCUCUUUUUUUAUUAUUAUGGUCGCCGGUCGAAGCCUCACUUGGCUCCUGGACCUGCUCUCCGUCGCGUUCGUUUAAGCAAUCAGAUGGAGUUGUGAUUGGAUAUCAAGGACUCUUAACACUGCUCGGUUGAAGCUUGGACAUUGAUAAUUGAGAAGCCAAAUAGAGAACACAAAAAUUCAACCCUCAUAUAAAAUUUUAUGGGAUCUCUAUUAAUUCUUUUAGGCGAAGGCUCGCGUACCAUGCCGCCCUCACCCAAAGCUAAUGAGGGAGGUGACGCCCUCACCCAAAGCCAACAAGGGUUAGCUAGGCAACCCUUGCUAGCUAAGGGUGUGCAAUAGGAACCACCCAAACCAGAUUGGAUUGAUCGAUUCUAAGCAAUCCCCACGGGAGAUGGUUCAGUUCCUAGACCGGUGGCCAAUUGGUCUAGUUCCUGGUUUUGGGAUUGGAACCAGAUCGACCAAACCAAAUCAACUAUAUCUAUACAUCUUAAUUUCUUAAUAAAGCCUAACUUUCCCAAUUUCCCAUCCCCUCUUGUUUCGACAUGCUCAUUUGUCUUUGUUUCUUGUGGGCGACUCUUUUUUGUUGCUUUACAUGGUGCUUGAUGGUUUAAUUUGUUUUCAGAGGAGCGAAAGAGGGGCGGGGAGGGGUUUCAUUAAGCACUUUUUUUCCUGAAUAUUUGUGAUUCACUGCAAAAGUCUAAUAGAGACCGAUUCUAUUGGACCGGAUCAGAACUGACCAAACCUAUUGGUCAGUUCGGUCCUAGUUCCAAGACCGGUCAAUCCAAUCCCCAGUCUCAGAAACUAGUAACCGGUUCCUAGUCCCAGUUCUACCUUAGAACUAGACCAAAUUGGAAACCGAUCAUCUUUAUUGCUAGUCCCAACUCCAAAACCAUUUUAUAAAAAAAAAAAAAAAGAAGGAAAAAACCAUAAAAAUUUCAAAAAUUAUUAAAAUAUUAUAAAAAAUGUCUACAUCAACACUAGUCAUCCAUAUCAACAAUUUCCAAUCAAUUUUGGCAAAAUGGACUCAAAUAGUAAAAUGUGUAAAUGUGUAUGACUUAAUUGGUAAAAAUUAAAAGGUUUAUGACCGAAUAUAGGUUUAAGACUUUUGGACAAUGAAUUAUAAUAUAGACAAAAACAAUUGAGGGAUGCGAGAAGCCAUUGAAUUGAUAUACCCUAAGUAGAUCAUGUCAAUCGCAAGUCAAGAAUUCCAGCUCACCUAAUAAUUUUUCUAUGGGAUAUGACCAUGUAAAUCGAUUAAGGAAUUUGUUAUUCACUAGCAGCAUGCCUCCACGAUUGAUGCAUACAUUAUUGCAUUUGCAUAAAAUUAAGGGUAUCUGCAUCAUGUUUCCAAAUUAACCAUGUUCGUCACAAAUUCUAGGAUGUUCUUAUCAGAACUCCCUCCUUCAUCUACCGCUUCUCUAGCCAUCUUUUUCCACCUCAAGGAGUUUUUCCUGAUCAUUUCUCCCCUCUCUCCUUCCAUGACAUGGUUCACGCAACUUUCGAUUUCUUCUCCAGUCACGAUCCUGCGCUCGUUAGCCCGAACCCUAAGGCCAACCUUCCACACUUCAACAAUGAACGUGGCGUUCGUCGGCUGGUCUGUCCACUGAGGCAUCACCACCAUGGGCACGCCCAAGCUCAGUGCUUCAAGGGUUGAGUUCCAACCGCAGUGGGUCAUGAAGCAACCGACGGAGCCGUGGCUCAGCACUUGGAGUUGAUUGCACCACUUCACCACCAAACCCUGGUCAGCGAUCCCCACAUCCUGCAGGAAAUUUCUGGGGAGCUUCUUCUCUUCCGAUUGUCUCACCACCCAUAAAAAGUUGCUCUUCAUUCUCUUGAGCCCGUUCGCUAAUUCUUCCAUUUGAUCUUCUCCGAGAGAGGCCAUGCUUCCGAAUGAUACGUAAAGAACGGAUUUGGGUGGCUUCGAGUCCAACCAUUUGAGGCAAGCUUCUGCUUCAGGCUUGAAGAGACUGAGUCCAUAAUCUUUGUCAUCUUCCAGUCUCUUGUCCAAGUAAACAGACGGGAUCGUUGGUCCUAUGGUCAUGAUCGACCAUUGAUUCCCCAUCCAUUUCACGAUCUGCAUUCAAUAAAUAAAGGUAUAUGCAAUUUAUCACUCGAGAUAUUGCUCUUACGUUAGUUGUUUCAUUUUCAUUCAACAUAUACCUCAUGUAUACUAGAUUUCUCUUUUCCCCCUCUUUUAAAAGUAAUUCUUGAAAAACUAAAAUCUUUCUACAAAAUAAUACGAUGAUACUUGUCGCAUGUGUCGAUCUGAUCCACUAAUUUAAUUAAUCACUCAUAAUCCGACAUUUAAUUUAGUGAACCCACUUUAUGAGUCAGACUAGUUAACCCAAGCGCUGCUCCGUUCUUUAAAUGAGUUUCGCAAUAUAUGAUUUGUCAAUUCUGCAGUACUUACCUCCUCCUCGAGCUCAGCAAAAGAAUUGAACAAGAACCACUUGGCUCUCUGAAUAUUGGAGAAUUGGCCGAGAAC